rnacentral:rRNA from 1 species
GACGAACGCUGGCGGCGUGCUUAACACAUGCAAGUCGAACGGAAAGGCCCUGCUUUUGUGGGGUGCUCGAGUGGCGAACGGGUGAGUAACACGUGAGUAACCUGCCCUUGACUUUGGGAUAACUUCAGGAAACUGGGGCUAAUACCGGAUAGGAGCUCCUGCUGCAUGGUGGGGGUUGGAAAGUUUCGGCGGUUGGGGAUGGACUCGCGGCUUAUCAGCUUGUUGGUGGGGUAGUGGCUUACCAAGGCUUUGACGGGUAGCCGGCCUGAGAGGGUGACCGGCCACAUUGGGACUGAGAUACGGCCCAGACUCCUACGGGAGGCAGCAGUGGGGAAUAUUGCACAAUGGGCGGAAGCCUGAUGCAGCAACGCCGCGUGCGGGAUGACGGCCUUCGGGUUGUAAACCGCUUUCGCCUGUGACGAAGCGUGAGUGACGGUAAUGGGUAAAGAAGCACCGGCUAACUACGUGCCAGCAGCCGCGGUGAUACGUAGGGUGCGAGCGUUGUCCGGAUUUAUUGGGCGUAAAGGGCUCGUAGGUGGUUGAUCGCGUCGGAAGUGUAAUCUUGGGGCUUAACCCUGAGCGUGCUUUCGAUACGGGUUGACUUGAGGAAGGUAGGGGAGAAUGGAAUUCCUGGUGGAGCGGUGGAAUGCGCAGAUAUCAGGAGGAACACCAGUGGCGAAGGCGGUUCUCUGGGCCUUUCCUGACGCUGAGGAGCGAAAGCGUGGGGAGCGAACAGGCUUAGAUACCCUGGUAGUCCACGCUGUAAACGGUGGGUACUAGGUGUGGGGUCCAUUCCACGGGUUCCGUGCCGUAGCUAACGCUUUAAGUACCCCGCCUGGGGAGUACGGCCGCAAGGCUAAAACUCAAAGGAAUUGACGGGGCCCCGCACAAGCGGCGGAGCAUGCGGAUUAAUUCGAUGCAACGCGUAGAACCUUACCUGGGUUUGACAUGGAUCGGGAGUGCUCAGAGAUGGGUGUGCCUCUUUUGGGGUCGGUUCACAGGUGGUGCAUGCCUGUCGUCAGCUCGUGUCGUGAGAUGUUGGGUUAAGUCCCGCAACGAGCGCAACCCUUGUUCACUGUUGCCAGCACGUUAUGGUGGGGACUCAGUGGAGACCGCCGGGGUCAACUCGGAGGAAGGUGGGGAUGACGUCAAGUCAUCAUGCCCCUUAUGUCCAGGGCUUCACGCAUGCUACAAUGGCUGGUACAGAGAGUGGCGAGCCUGUGAGGGUGAGCGAAUCUCGGAAAGCCGGUCUCAGUUCGGAUUGGGGUCUGCAACUCGACCUCAUGAAGUCGGAGUCGCUAGUAAUCGCAAAGCAGCAACGCUGCGGUGAAUACGUUCCCGGGGCC